AAGUCGUAACAAGGUUUCCGUAGGUGAACCUGCGGAAGGAUCAAUAAGUGAUUGGCCAUCUUGGCUUAAACUUUCCAUCUACACCCUGUGAACCGUUUGAUUAAUCUCUGAUUCAUUUUACAAACAAUGUGUAAUGAACGUCAUUAGAUCAUAAUAAAAAAAA
rnacentral:misc_RNA from 1 species